rnacentral:rRNA from 1 species
CACCUGACCCCAUACCGAACUCAGAAGUGAAACGCCGAUGCGCCGAUGGUAGUGUGGGGCUUCCCCAUGUGAGAGUAGGACACCGCCAGGU